AGUGGAAUUGCUGGAUCAUAUGCUAGUUCUAUUUUUAGCCUUUGAGGAACUGCCUAACUGUUUUCUAUAGGGACUGCCCAAUUUUAUAUUCCCACUAGCAAU
rnacentral:miRNA from 1 species